UAGCAUAUCAAUAAGCGGAGGAAAAGAAACCAACCGGGAUUGCCUCAGUAACGGCGAGUGAAGCGGCAAGAGCUCAAAUUUGAAAGCUGGCUCCUUCGGGGUCCGCAUUGUAAUUUGCAGAGGAUGCUUCGGGUGCGGCCCCUGUCUAAGUGCCCUGGAACGGGCCGUCAGAGAGGGUGAGAAUCCCGUCUGGGAUGGGGUGUCCGCGCCCGUGUGAAGCUCCUUCGACGAGUCGAGUUGUUUGGGAAUGCAGCUCUAAAUGGGUGGUAAAUUUCAUCUAAAGCUAAAUACUGGCCGGAGACCGAUAGCGCACAAGUAGAGUGAUCGAAAGAUGAAAAGCACUUUGAAAAGAGAGUUAAAAAGCACGUGAAAUUGUUGAAAGGGAAGCGCUUGCGACCAGACUCGCCUCCAGGGUUCAGCCGGCAUUCGUGCCGGUGUACUUCCCUGGGGGCGGGCCAGCGUCGGUUUGGGCGGCCGGUCAAAGGCUCCCGGAAUGUAGUGCCCUUCGGGGCACCUUAUAGCCGGGAGUGCAAUGCGGCCAGCCUGGACCGAGGAACGCGCUUCGGCACGGACGCUGGCAUAAUGGUCGCAAACGACCCGUCUUGAAACACGGACCAAGGAGUCUAACAUCUACGCGAGUGUUCGGGUGUCAAACCCGUACGCGCAGUGAAAGCGAACGGAGGUGGGAGCCCCCUCGCGGGGCGCACCAUCGACCGAUCCUGAUGUCUUCGGAUGGAUUUGAGUAAGAGCGUAAAUGUGGGGACCCGAAAGAUGGUGAACUAUGCCUGAAUAGGGCGAAGCCAGAGGAAACUCUGGUGGAGGCUCGCAGCGGUUCUGACGUGCAAAUCGAUCGUCAAAUUUGGGUAUAGGGGCGAAAGACUAAUCGAACCAUCUAGUAGCUGGUUCCUGC
rnacentral:rRNA from 1 species